rnacentral:rRNA from 1 species
GUGACCUGCGGAAGGAUCAUUACAGAAUGAAAAGUGCUUAACUGCAUUUUUUCUUACACAUGUGUUUUUCUUUUUUUGAAAACUUUGCUUUGGUAGGCCUUCUAUAUGGGGCCUGCCAGAGAUUAAACUCAACCAAAUUUUAUUUAAUGUCAACCGAUUAUUUAAUAGUCAAAACUUUCAACAACGGAUCUCUUGGUUCUCGCAUCGAUGAAGAACGCAGCGAAAUGCGAUAAGUAAUAUGAAUUGCAGAUAUUCGUGAAUCAUCGAAUCUUUGAACGCACAUUGCGCCCUUUGGUAUUCCAAAGGGCAUGCCUGUUUGAGCGUCAUUUCUCCCUCAAACCCUCGGGUUUGGUGUUGAGCGAUACGCUGGGUUUGCUUGAAAGAAAGGCGGAGUAUAAACUAAUGGAUAGGUUUUUUCCACUCAUUGGUACAAACUCCAAAACUUCUUCCAAAUUCGACCUCAAAUCAGGUAGGACUACCCGCUGAACUUAAGCAUAUCAAUAAGCGGAGGAAAA